GUGGUCGAUCUUGUUUACAUUUUACGGUGCUUAGCUCUGUAUAUUUAUUACAUGCACAUGCAUAUCUGAUAUUUUUCAGCAUUCAUUAUCGUCUUUAAAAUUAUCUCGCGCGAAUAAUAUUAUAUUUAUCUUGUCCAUAUCUAUAAAAAUUAAAUAUGGAUUCGAAAAGGUUGGCACUGUCAAAAAGUAUAUUGGACAUGAAGUUCAUGAAACGGACGAAGGACAAAGUGGAGAAACAACAGUUUCAAGAGGAAGGAGAGGAGUACUUUGGUAGCAGACUCACAUCACGUAUGAAAGAAGCAUCUGGGAAAUUUUUUAUGGAACCGAGCUAUAUUUUCUGCGAGGAACUUGUCAAUGGUAGAUUGAGUUUUCAAGGGAUGAAUCCGGCGAUAGAGAAGCUAAUGGAAGCAAGAGAAAAUGCAAAACGAGCUGAAACAGAAACGAAGGAAGAAGUUGACGUAUCGGAUGAGCAAAUGACUGUUCAAUGGCAAAAAAUGCGAACAAAGUUUAAUAUUAUGCAGAGAAAGUCACAACACAAAACUAACAGAAAAUUGAAACAUAGCAAGACAGACUGCAAUGACGAACCAAUAGGGAAGAAACCAAAAUUUUUGAAACCAGCAGAAUGAAUACCUGCAAUCUGGUGUUAAGUACGAGUUAAUUUCCCAAGAUGGAUUUGCAGCGUUUAAAGAGCGGCGUCUUAUUGCAUACUGCAUUCAAUUAAUUACCGCAUUAAUUAUUACCGUUGACAUUACGCAAUAAUGUAAAAUGGACAUUUACCCGAUUGGAUAAUUUCUGAAUUGCUGUCGGCAGAAUUGAAGUAGAAAUCUGUAGAAGUAGAGAUCUGAUAACGGACAGCUGGCAGAUUGGUGCGGCCAAUUUAAAAAUUUAAAUACCAUUAUCAUAUUUAUAAAUACUCAGAUGAAAUACCGGACCGUUAAUUGCAGUAGCACGUGGCUCGCCUUGAACGGCUCUUCCCUUUAAAAACGCAGGAUGGCUGGUGAUCGAAAAUCAUGACCCGAUGACCGCAUCAAUAAAAUAAAAAAAAAAAUCUUCCCGAUAAAAUUCGGAUCGUAAACUUUUCAUGUACACCAUUACACCGGACAAAGUUGAUUUCGAUAUACGAAAGAGAUAUCACUCAUACUGUUCAAUAACAUUUUUGGUCUCACGAUUUGGUUACGAUGAAACGAAUGUAACGAUCCAAUGCGAAACCCAAUCGAUAUGCCAGUAAGAAAAAAGGAAUCUAAAGUAUUAUUCCGAAGAGCUACAUAAAUCGUAAUUCAAAAACAAACGAUAUAUCUCAAUAAUAAAGAAAGAAAUUUAUGUGAUUUUUUAUAAAAGAAAGACCGCGGUUAAAAAAAAACCGGUUUCUGAAAUCAGAUAUAUUGAUGCACAUAAUUUCAAAUCAUCGCGCCGGAUUAUCGAGAAAUAGAGAAUUAACGGCUCUGGUCGAGUCUUUCUAAAAAUCUUAUUUUUAUGUCUAUUAUUUACUAAUUUAUUAAUUUUGAUGUAAAAAUUUCUCAACGAUGAAACGAGGUGUACAUGAGAAAGGAAGAGUUAUAUAAGGCUCUGUUACCAGACUAUUCAUUUUACUUAUUGUUAAAAAUAAGCCCAUCCGUUUGUACUUCUUCCUACUUGAUCCGCUCGUACAAUGUAUGAUUAAAUCCUGAUUGCGUUUAAUGCGAUCACGUCGUAACGAACGGGUAACAACUAUAAGUCGGCUGCGGCGACUUGUUUCCUCAAAAGGCGCGGCGUGCACCAAUUCGCUACCGCGAAUAAAAGUACUGCGAGGCGAUGCAGCUGGAUUAACAACGAGAGUGCGGAUGCGCUCGUUGCUCCGCACUCGCGACGUAUUAUUUACAGAGAAAAGAGCGCGCGCGUUGCCCGGAUUACGGACAAUUUGCGCGAUACCUGGAUGAUUGG